CUUGCAUGGCGUCUCCAAGGGCCUCUUGUGUCAUGCCAUUCAUCAAGUAGCACAAGCAGCGCCUCGCAAACACAGUCGGCGAUACCACUGUCCCGCUAUCAAUGAACUAUAUGACAAGACACAGUGUUUUGUUAAAACUAUGAGGCCCACGGUUGA